CUAGAGAGCCUAACUGCCAUCUGGAACUGAAUCCUGACUCUGGUACUGAGAGCAUCUCUAGGACUCAACUCUGAGCUCCUGAGGACUUCCGGUUUCUUCCAGUGAAGAAACUAGCAAGAUCCUGACAUCACUCAAACCUGUGACACUGCUGCUACUCUGAAGAAAUUGAAAACCAAGAAAGGAUUGGCCAGAACUGCUUAAUUUACCUUUGAAGAGGCUCUGACCUUAGCGGGGUAGAUUUGGCCACAUCCUGUAUCUCACUUGUCUUCUACUCUGAUUCUAAUCUAGUGACUAUUUCUUUCAUGAGUUUAGCCUAGGAAUUAGAUCAGAUAGCAAGGGGACAUUAAGAUCAGAGAGAGUAGACAGUGUAGCCUCAGCUCAGCCGAGGGUCGAAGAGAACCUGGAAAGGGUCAAUUUUGGGGGGAAAGGUAGAUUUUUUAUUAGUUGAUAGGGAAUAUAAUUCAGCCCACCUUCCUAACCCUUUGCUUGAUUACAUUAUAAAAUAGAUCUUGCUACCUGAAGACAUCACAGUCAGAUUUGAUUACAUUCUGGUCUGAGUCAGAGAGAGAAGCCAUUUUUGCUCUCUGACACCGGAGAAACUCUUUCCUAGACUAGGUUAAGCAAAACCCUAGUCAACCAUUAUUUAUCAUCUUCUGGGGUGUUUGACUCCCAUCUUUCACAACUAGAUUGCUUGAUGACAAAUUCAUUUCAAUUAAAAAAAUAAACAUCAUGCACCCACUAUGUGCUAGGUACUGUGCUAAGUGCUAGGAAUACUUUUAAAAAGUAUCUAAAAAAAGCCAGGACUUUUUCUAUUGUCCCACUUUGUCCCUUAAGGUAUUUAAUAAAUGUUCAUUGAUGGUUAAAGCUCUGGCUUUAACUCCUUGGAAAACCAAACACUUGAAAAUUACAGAAGUUGUACUAAUUUUUUUUUAUUUCUUAAAAUGACCACCCAAAAGUUAAUGAGAAAAAGAAACUUAUGCAUUGUAUAAAUAUUCAGAAGGAAAUUGGAUUUGGAGUUAAAGAACCAGAGUUAAAUCUAGUUCUCCUGCUAAGGAAUCCAUAUUAUCAUGGAGAAUCCUGACUCCAUUCUGUAUAGAUUCCUCUUUCUUGACACUACCAGUGUUGCCCAAGGCUUUGAGUGAUGGAUAGGUAAAUAAUAAAGCAUUUAUUAAGCAAUUAUCA
rnacentral:lncRNA from 1 species